ACUCAAAUGAAUUGACGGGGGCCCGCACAAGCGGCGGAGCAUGUGGAUUAAUUCGAUGCAACGCGAAGAACCUUACCUGGGUUUGACAUGCGCAGGACGCACCUAGAGAUGGGUGUUCCCUUGUGGCCUGUGUGCAGGUGGUGCAUGGCUGUCGUCAGCUCGUGUCGUGAGAUGUUGGGUUAAGUCCCGCAACGAGCGCAACCCUUACCCUAUGUUGCCAGCGCGUGAUGGCGGGGACUCGUGGGGGACUGCCGGGGUCAACUCGGAGGAAGGUGGGGAUGAGGUCAAGUCAUCAUGCCCCUUAAGCCCAGGGCUUCACACAUGCUACAAUGGCUGGUACAGAGGGUUGCGAUAUCGUGAGGUGGAGCGGAUCCCUUAAAGCUGGUCUCAGUUCGGAUCGUAGUCUGCAACUCGACUACGUGAAGGUGGAGUCGCUAGUAAUCGCAGAUCAGCAUUGCUGCGGUGAAUACGUUCCCGGGCCUUGCACACACCGCCCGU
rnacentral:rRNA from 1 species